ACGAUAUGCUUUGGGGAGCUGUAAGUAAGCUUUGAUCCAGAGAUUUCCGAAUGGGGAAACCCAGCAUGAGUUAUGUCAUGUUAUCGAUAUGUGAAUACAUAGCAUAUCAGAAGGCACACCCGGAGAACUGAAACAUCUUAGUACCCGGAGGAAGAGAAAGAAAAUUCGAUUCCCUUAGUAGCGGCGAGCGAAACGGGAAGAGCCCAAACCAACAAGCUUGCUUGUUGGGGUUGUAGGACACUCUAUACGGAGUUACAAAGGACGACAUUAGACGAAUCAUCUGGAAAGAUGAAUCAAAGAAGGUAAUAAUCCUGUAGUCGAAAAUGUUGUCUCUCUUGAGUGGAUCCUGAGUACGACGGAGCACGUGAAAUUCCGUCGGAAUCUGGGAGGACCAUCUCCUAAGGCUAAAUACUCUCUAGUGACCGAUAGUGAACCAGUACCGUGAGGGAAAGGUGAAAAGCACCCCGGAAGGGGAGUGAAAUAGAACCUGAAACCGUGUGCUUACAAGUAGUCAGAGCCCGUUAAUGGGUGAUGGCGUGCCUUUUGUAGAAUGAACCGGCGAGUUACGAUUUGAUGCAAGGUUAAGCAGUAAAUGUGGAGCCGUAGCGAAAGCGAGUCUGAAUAGGGCGUUUAGUAUUUGGUCGUAGACCCGAAACCAGGUGAUCUACCCUUGGUCAGGUUGAAGUUCAGGUAACACUGAAUGGAGGACCGAACCGACUUACGUUGAAAAGUGAGCGGAUGAACUGAGGGUAGCGGAGAAAUUCCAAUCGAACCUGGAGAUAGCUGGUUCUCUCCGAAAUAGCUUUAGGGCUAGCCUCAAGUGAUGAUUAUUGGAGGUAGAGCACUGUUUGGACGAGGGGCCCCUCUCGGGUUACCGAAUUCAGACAAACUCCGAAUGCCAAUUAAUUUAACUUGGGAGUCAGAACAUGGGUGAUAAGGUCCGUGUUCGAAAGGGAAACAGCCCAGACCACCAGCUAAGGUCCCAAAAUAUAUGUUAAGUGGAAAAGGAUGUGGCGUUGCCCAGACAACUAGGAUGUUGGCUUAGAAGCAGCCAUCAUUUAAAGAGUGCGUAAUAGCUCACUAGUCGAGUGACACUGCGCCGAAAAUGUACCGGGGCUAAACAUAUUACCGAAGCUGUGGAUUGUCCUUUGGACAAUGGUAGGAGAGCGUUCUAAGGGCGUUGAAGCAUGAUCGUAAGGACAUGUGGAGCGCUUAGAAGUGAGAAUGCCGGUGUGAGUAGCGAAAGACGGGUGAGAAUCCCGUCCACCGAUUGACUAAGGUUUCCAGAGGAAGGCUCGUCCGCUCUGGGUUAGUCGGGUCCUAAGCUGAGGCCGACAGGCGUAGGCGAUGGAUAACAGGUUGAUAUUCCUGUACCACCUAUAAUCGUUUUAAUCGAUGGGGGGACGCAGUAGGAUAGGCGAAGCGUGCGAUUGGAUUGCACGUCUAAGCAGUAAGGCUGAGUAUUAGGCAAAUCCGGUACUCGUUAAGGCUGAGCUGUGAUGGGGAGAAGACAUUGUGUCUUCGAGUCGUUGAUUUCACACUGCCGAGAAAAGCCUCUAGAUAGAAAAUAGGUGCCCGUACCGCAAACCGACACAGGUAGUCAAGAUGAGAAUUCUAAGGUGAGCGAGCGAACUCUCGUUAAGGAACUCGGCAAAAUGACCCCGUAACUUCGGGAGAAGGGGUGCUCUUUAGGGUUAACGCCCAGAAGAGCCGCAGUGAAUAGGCCCAAGCGACUGUUUAUCAAAAACACAGGUCUCUGCUAAACCGUAAGGUGAUGUAUAGGGGCUGACGCCUGCCCGGUGCUGGAAGGUUAAGAGGAGUGGUUAGCUUCUGCGAAGCUACGAAUCGAAGCCCCAGUAAACGGCGGCCGUAACUAUAACGGUCCUAAGGUAGCGAAAUUCCUUGUCGGGUAAGUUCCGACCCGCACGAAAGGCGUAACGAUUUGGGCACUGUCUCAACGAGAGACUCGGUGAAAUCAUAGUACCUGUGAAGAUGCAGGUUACCCGCGACAGGACGGAAAGACCCCGUGGAGCUUUACUGUAGCCUGAUAUUGAAAUUCGGCACAGCUUGUACAGGAUAGGUAGGAGCCUUUGAAACGUGAGCGCUAGCUUACGUGGAGGCGCUGGUGGGAUACUACCCUAGCUGUGUUGGCUUUCUAACCCGCACCACUUAUCGUGGUGGGAGACAGUGUCAGGCGGGCAGUUUGACUGGGGCGGUCGCCUCCUAAAAGGUAACGGAGGCGCUCAAAGGUUNNNNNNNNNNNNNNNNNNNNNNNNNNNNNNNCCUCAGAAUGGUUGGAAAUCAUUCAUAGAGUGUAAAGGCAUAAGGGAGCUUGACUGCGAGACCUACAAGUCGAGCAGGGUCGAAAGACGGACUUAGUGAUCCGGUGGUUCCGCAUGGAAGGGCCAUCGCUCAACGGAUAAAAGCUACCCCGGGGAUAACAGGCUUAUCUCCCCCAAGAGUUCACAUCGACGGGGAGGUUUGGCACCUCGAUGUCGGCUCAUCGCAUCCUGGGGCUGUAGUCGGUCCCAAGGGUUGGGCUGUUCGCCCAUUAAAGCGGUACGCGAGCUGGGUUCAGAACGUCGUGAGACAGUUCGGUCCCUAUCCGUCGUGGGCGUAGGAAAUUUGAGAGGAGCUGUCCUUAGUACGAGAGGACCGGGAUGGACAUACCUCUGGUGUACCAGUUGUCGUGCCAACGGCAUAGCUGGGUAGCUAUGUGUGGACGGGAUAAGUGCUGAAAGCAUCUAAGCAUGAAGCCCCCCUCAAGAUGAGAUUUCCCAACUUCGGUUAUAAGAUCCCUCAAAGAUGAUGAGGUUAAUAGGUUCGAGGUGGAAGCAUGGUGACAUGUGGAGCUGACGAAUACUAAUCGAUCGAAGACUUAAUCAA
rnacentral:rRNA from 1 species